CCUACGGGGGGCAGCAGUGAGGAAUAUUGGUCAAUGGGCGUAAGCCUGAACCAGCCAAGUCGCGUGAGGGAUGAAGGUUCUAUGGAUCGUAAACCUCUUUUAUAAGGGAAUAAAGUGCGGGACGUGUCCCGUUUUGUAUGUACCUUAUGAAUAAGGAUCGGCUAACUCCGUGUCAGCAGCGGCGGUAAUACGGAGGAUCCGAGCGUUAUCCGGAUUUGUUGGGUUUAAAGGGUGCGUAGGCGGCCUUUUAAGUCAGAGGGGAAAGUUUGGGGCUCAACCAAAGAAUUGCCGUUGAAACUGGGAGGCUUGAGUGUGUUUGGGGCAGGCGGAAUGCGUGGUGUAGCGGUGAAAUGCUUAGAUAUCACGCAGAACCCCGAUUGCGAAGGCAGCCUGCCAAGCCAUGACUGACGCUGAUGCACGAAAGCGUGGGGAUCAAACAGGAUUAGAUACCCUGGUAGUC
rnacentral:rRNA from 1 species